rnacentral:piRNA from 1 species
UGGAAUACUGCAGUCUCCUCUUCACUGGCUC